AUUGAACGCUGGCGGCAGGCCUAACACAUGCAAGUCGAGCGGAGCGGCGGAGGGGUGUGUAAUGCCUAGGAAUCUGCCUGGUAGUGGUGGAUAACGUCCGGAAACGGGCGCUAAUACCGCAUACUAUCAGAUGAGCCUCGGUCGUAUUAGCUAGUGGGUGGGGUAAUGGCCUACCAAGGCGACGAUCCGUAUCUGGUCUGAGGGGAUGAUCAGUCACACGGGAACUGAAACACGGUCAAGACUCCUACGGGAGGCAGCAGUGGGGAAUAUUGGACAAUGGGCGAAAGCCUGAUGCGGAAAUGCGGCGGGUGUGAAGAAGGUCUUCGGAUUGUAAAGCACUUUAAGUUGGGAGGCGUUACCAACAGAGAAAGCAACGGCUAACUACGUGCCAGCCGCCGCGGUAAUAC
rnacentral:rRNA from 1 species